UACGUAGGGUGCGAGCGUUGUCCGGAAUUACUGGGCGUAAAGAGCUCGUAGGUGGUUUGUCGCGUUGUCCGUGAAAACUCACAGCUUAACUGUGGGCGUGCGGGCGAUACGGGCAGACUGGAGUACUGCAGGGGAGACUGGAAUUCCUGGUGUAGCGGUGGAAUGCGCAGAUAUCAGGAGGAACACCGGUGGCGAAGGCGGGUCUCUGGGCAGUAACUGACGCUGAGGGGCGAAAGCCAGGGGAGCAAACGGG
rnacentral:rRNA from 1 species